rnacentral:rRNA from 1 species
UACGUAGGCAGCAAGCGUUGUUCGGAAUUACUGGGCGUAAGGAGUGUGUAGGCGGUGCUCCAAGUCUGGUGUGAAAUCUCCCGGCUUAACUGGGAGGGUGCAUUAGAAACUGGAAUGCUAGAGGAUGGGAGAGGUAAGCGGAAUUCCUGGUGUAGCGGUGAAAUGCGUAGAUAUCAGGAGGAACACCUGUGGUGUAGACAGCUUACUGGACCAUUUCUGACGCUGAGACACGAAAGCGUGGGUAGCAAACAGG